AGUGAACGCUGGCGGUAGGUCUAACACAUGCAAGUCGAACGGCAGCACAGUAAGAGCUUGCUCUUACGGGUGGCGAGUGGCGGACGGGUGAGGAAUACAUCGGAAUCUACUUUUUCGUGGGGGAUAACGUAGGGAAACUUACGCUAAUACCGCAUACGACCUACGGGUGAAAGCAGGGGAUCUUCGGACCUUGCGCGAUUGAAUGAGCCGAUGUCGGAUUAGCUAGUUGGCGGGGUAAAGGCCCACCAAGGCGACGAUCCGUAGCUGGCCUGAGAGGAUGAUCAGCCACACUGGAACUGAGACACGGUCCAGACUCCUACGGGAGGCAGCAGUGGGGAAUAUUGGACAAUGGGCGCAAGCCUGAUCCAGCCAUACCGCGUGGGUGAAGAAGGCCUUCGGGUUGUAAAGCCCUUUUGUUGGGAAAGAAAAGCAGCAGGUUAAUACCCCGCUGUUCUGACGGUACCCAAAGAAUAAGCACCGGCUAACUUCGUG
rnacentral:rRNA from 1 species